rnacentral:rRNA from 1 species
UACGAAGGGUGCUAGCGUUGUUCGGAAUUACUGGGCGUAAAGCGCACGUAGGCGGCUUUGUAAGUUAGAGGUGAAAGCCCGGGGCUCAACCCCGGAAUUGCCUUUGAGACUGCAUCGCUAGAAUUGUGGAGAGGUAAGUGGAAUUCCGAGUGUAGAGGUGAAAUUCGUAGAUAUUCGGAAGAACACCAGUGGCGAAGGCGACUUACUGGACACAUAUUGACGCUGAGGUGCGAAAGCGUGGGGAGCAAACAGG